UCUGAUGAACAUUCUUGUGCAUAAAUCUUUGUCCACACAAAGAUUUAAAUGUUUCCUUCCAUUUACACCGAAGGGAAUUCAAUUCAAGUCACUUCCUCAAACCUUCACAGUGCGUUCCCAGAACACCCCAGGGAUGUGACGGAUCAGACCCUGUUCUGCUCUUUGGAGGCUCCAGUAGGGGAGGUAUACACUGGACUGUGAUCAGCAAGGGCAGGAGCAGCGUGACUGGAGCGUGCCCUCCUUCUAGUAACAACCUGUUUCCCAAACCUCUGCACAGCCCUUUCUUCCCUUGUGUGUGCCACAUGGGGGCGCCAGAACCUGAGUCAUUCAUGGCCUCCUCUGGAAGCCCUCCCACCAGCACCCUAGAGGCCUACAGGAAGCAGCUCAUCACUGUGAGAGUGACUCAGGCCACAAAUCUGCGUGGUAGCAGCAGCCUCGUUCUGCACUCAGUUCACAGAGGAGGAAGUCAAAGCCCAGCCCAGCAGUGUGAGCGAGCGCUCAAGCCCAGGCUGGCCUGACUCCUGCCUGUGUCUCUUUCCUUCUCUCUGCCUGCUUCCUGUGCUGUCUCUGAAUCUUUGUGCACAAUGCCUCCCUCACCGGCUCGUCCUUGCUGCUGCUCUACUUGCGCUCUCACCCAUGCCCACCCAGCUGCACAUGCAGCAAGGUGGGUGCACGUGUGUAGCCAAGCCCUGGAGGACACGUAUAAGGCAUGUCAUCUGGACAAGUCACUUCACUUCUGGGAGCCUCAGUUUUGUCAUCUCAUGGAGGUUGUUAUGAGAGUUGAAGUAGAUA